GGGUGAGUAAUGUCUGGGAAACUGCCUGAUGGAGGGGGAUAACUACUGGAAACGGUGGCUAAUACCGCAUAACGUCGCAAGACCAAAGAGGGGGACCUUCGGGCCUCUUGCCAUCAGAUGUGCCCAGAUGGGAUUAGCUUGUUGGUGAGGUAACGGCUCACCAAGGCGACGAUCCCUAGCUGGUCUGAGAGGAUGACCAGCCACACUGGAACUGAGACACGGUCCAGACUCCUACGGGAGGCAGCAGUGGGGAAUAUUGCACAAUGGGCGCAAGCCUGAUGCAGCCAUGCCGCGUGUAUGAAGAAGGCCUUCGGGUUGUAAAGUACUUUCAGCGGGGAGGAAGGUGUUGUGGUUAAUAACCGCAGCAAUUGACGUUACCCGCAGAAGAAGCACCGGCUAACUCCGUGCCAGCAGCCGCGGUAAUACGGAGGGUGCAAGCGUUAAUCGGAAUUACUGGGCGUAAAGCGCACGCAGGCGGUCUGUCAAGUCGGAUGUGAAAUCCCCGGGCUCAACCUGGGAACUGCAUUCGAAACUGGCAGGCUUGAGUCUUGUAGAGGGGGGUAGAAUUCCAGGUGUAGCGGUGAAAUGCGUAGAGAUCUGGAGGAAUACCGGUGGCGAAGGCGGCCCCCUGGACAAAGACUGACGCUCAGGUGCGAAAGCGUGGGGAGCAAACAGGAUUAGAUACCCUGGUAGUCCACGCCGUAAACGAUGUCUACUUGGAGGUUGUGCCCUUGAGGCGUGGCUUCCGGAGCUAACGCGUUAAGUAGACCGCCUGGGGAGUACGGCCGCAAGGUUAAAACUCAAAUGAAUUGACGGGGGCCCGCACAAGCGGUGGAGCAUGUGGUUUAAUUCGAUGCAACGCGAAGAACCUUACCUGGUCUUGACAUCCACAGAAGAAUCCAGAGAUGGAUUUGUGCCUUCGGGAACUGUGAGACAGGUGCUGCAUGGCUGUCGUCAGCUCGUGUUGUGAAAUGUUGGGUUAAGUCCCGCAACGAGCGCAACCCUUAUCCUUUGUUGCCAGCGGUUAGGCCGGGAACUCAAAGGAGACUGCCAGUGAUAAACUGGAGGAAGGUGGGGAUGACGUCAAGUCAUCAUGGCCCUUACGACCAGGGCUACACACGUGCUACAAUGGCGCAUACAAAGAGAAGCGACCUCGCGAGAGCAAGCGGACCUCAUAAAGUGCGUCGUAGUCCGGAUUGGAGUCUGCAACUCGACUCCAUGAAGUCGGAAUCGCUAGUAAUCGUGGAUCAGAAUGCCACGGUGAAUACGUUCCCGGGCCUUGUACACACCGCCCGUCACACCAUGGGAGUGGGUUGCAAAAGAAGUAGGUAGCUUAACCUUCGGGAGGGCGCUUACCACUUUGUGAUUCAUGACUGGGGUGAAGUCGUAACAAGGUAACCGUAGGGGAACCUGCGGUUGGAUCACCUCCUUACCUUAAAGAA
rnacentral:rRNA from 3 species